GACGAACGCUGGCGGCGUGCUUAACACAUGCAAGUCGAACGGUGAAGCGCCUUCCUUUUUGGUGGGUGUGGAUGAGUGGCGAACGGGUGAGUAACACGUGAGUAACCUGCCCCCUUCUUCUGGAUAACCGCAUGAAAGUGUGGCUAAUACGGGAUAUUCUGGGUCUGUCGCAUGAUGGGUCUGGGAAAGAUAUUGUUUCGGUGGGGGAUGGGCUCGCGGCCUAUCAGCUUGUUGGUGGGGUGAUGGCCUACCAAGGCGGUGACGGGUAGCCGGCCUGAGAGGGUGGACGGUCACACUGGGAAUGAGACACGGCCCAGACUCCUACGGGAGGCAGCAGUGGGGAAUAUUGCACAAUGGGCGCAAGCCUGAUGCAGCGACGCCCCGUGAGGGAUGGAGGCCUUCGGGUUGUGAACCUCUUUCGCCAGUGAAGCAGGCCUGCCUCGUUUGUGGGUGGGUUGACGGUAGCUGGAUAAGAAGCGCCGGCUAACUACGUG
rnacentral:rRNA from 1 species